GACGAAAAAUAUAGAGAUGCGUCAUAAGUACAUAGAACAUUCGUUUGUUCACAACCACAGAGCAAAACAAAGGAUUAACAACCAGGCACUUUGUAAUUUUAGUCACUAUGGUCACUACAUACGGUGAAAAUGGUCACGUGCCGAAAAAUGGCACAGUCCGCCAUUUUGUUGUUUUCACGUUACUGCAAAGGCAGGCAAAGACACUAAGAUCAAAUACAUUAUGGAAAAUAAAAAGCAAAUGAAUUGGAGAUGGGCAAGACACUUAUAUUAAGACAAGACAAUAGGUGGACUAACCGAAUGGCAACAAGAGUUGCAUUUUAACGAUCGUAACCAAUAACUGUUUCGGCCAAUGGCAAGUUCAACCGCAACAGUUCAUACUUACUUCGAAUCCGAUUGCGAUACGAACACAAUUCAACCCUUGUGGCUUAUUUGUUGAGAAUUUGUGACGUCAAAAUUCGCUUCGCAUUCGCAGGAAGUAUGAAACUGGCGUUUGUCAUGACUGCGAAAACGCACCCUUAGAAAUACGAAGAAGAAACAACUUGGGCUAGAAUAGCAAGAAUGAGAAGGGAAUUGGCCUUUUUGAGGCAUGGUGGACACUAUAGGAGUGUACUGUUUGGUUAGGGUGCAUACAGUCAAAACCAAAUAGUGCAGAAGUGAUGUGUCCAACAUACCUCAAAAUGGCUCAUGUAUGUUGCACAAGGAGGGCUCAAUCCACCAAUGGAAUAACACAGCCCGAUGGUGAUGAUGGUGAUGAUACUCCUUUUGUAUCGAAAAAUUGUCACAUUUGUUGAGAUAUCCCCAAAUUCCCACUUGUUGAUAAUUCAUUCAAGUUGGUGUGGUGCAUUUAAUGGUGUUCUUUAAAAUCAGCUUGCGAUGCAUAGGAAACCAGACGACGUUGCAACAGACAAUUCAUCAUCUACUGCGCAGGAGCCGGCAACUGCACUUUUAGAUGGGGGUGUAUUGGUACUACUGUAAAAUUAUUUGUAAUGUUUGUUAUAAAAGUAAUGUUUUUUAAGUGAUAAGCGCAGAUUGAGAUCAAUGCAAAGUAGUUUUGUUAAGAUGGAAUGAUCCAAUGACCUCUCAUAUUAAAUGAGGGAGUUUUGCUUCUCCCGACAAAAAACAGACAGAUUGGUUAAAAAAUAAUAGAACACUCGUUCGUUCACAACCACACAGCAAAAGCACAGCAGUAACAAUCAGGUACUUUGCAAUUAAGGAAAGUUAGAGAUUCAAAAUGCCGAAUAACGAGACAACAGUAAAAAGGAACAUCACCGACGCGGUGACAAACACAUCGGUAGGAGAUCCAAGGAGGGGUCGUCCUUCACCUGGCGAAGAUGUGGGUCUGGCUGCGGGUCUAGUUGCGGGUGGAGUUGUGGGUGGAGCUGUAGCUUUAGCAGCAGCACCGAUACUAGUGGUCGUUGGAGCUGCACUUGGUGCUGGUAGUGCUGUCGCUUUUGGUGUUUCUUUGUUAUUUGGAGGUAAAAGAUAAUCGCCCAGAAGAGAAACCCAUACCUGUUGGAGUCUGGACACUGGCCAUUAUGAAAAACAACGGCAUCUCAAAAUUCUGACUCAAUCGGAACUCUCCAAUCUUAAAAGACAGUUCCAAACAUUUUAUAACUCACUACCUGCUGUCAAGCCUAUCCUAGAACCAUUUCAACAGAACUACACAAGAGCUAAGACAAAACUAAAAGAAACUAGUAAACUGAAGAGCACAACCAAGUGUAAACCUCCUUUGAGUGAGUUCUGGCUCUAAAAAGAGCCGGUGGGGUCUCGACGUUUCGAAGAGUAUACCCUACUGGUCUUCACAAGAAGUAAUGAUCCAAGAGUAAUAAAUACUUCCAGCCAAAGACUUAUGAUCUAGCUAAGAGACAACUCAUAUCCAGUCGAUUUCCUGUCAACUCGGCCUCGGCAAGACACCAGGUCGACACGUCAUGAUCGUUCUAAUUGUAAACAAUUGUUCGCUGUAAAAGUUUUUCAGUCAUUUUUGUAAUCAGCUGAGGUAGUUCUUAAUUUCGUUACCUCAUGUACUCAGAAUUUUUGUUUACUGAUUAUGAAGUUCGUACUAGAAUAAUUGUUAUCUGCUUCUGUGAAACACUACCCACUGAAAUGAAAUAAAGUCAUCAUCACUAGAGAAAUCUACAAAAACAAAACAAAAAAAAACCCUGCUAGUUUAUGUUGUUGCAACCAAAUAUUAGGAUAACUGAGCCCAAGUUUUCACAUAUUUGUAAUUUCAUGUAAAUGGUUGGUCACACACAAGACAUGAAUACUGUCUGCUACUGAUUUUUCAGUGUUACCAGUCCUGUAUUAUACCUUUAAAGACACUGGGCAUUAUU